rnacentral:misc_RNA from 1 species
GUGAAUCAUCGAAUCUUUGAACGCACAUUGCGCCCGCCAGUAUUCUGGCGGGCAUGCCUGUUCGAGCGUCAUUUCAACCCUCAAGCCCCCGGGCUUGGUGUUGGAGAUCGGCGUGCCCCCCGGGGCGCGCCGGCUCCCAAAUAUAGUGGCGGUCUCGCUGUAGCUUCCUCUGCGUAGUAGCACACCUCGCACUGGAAAACAGCGUGGCCACGCCGUUAAACCCCCCACUUCUGAAAGGUUGACCUCGGAUCAGGUAGGAAUACCCGCUGAACUUAAGCAUAUCAAUAAGCGGAGGA